rnacentral:rRNA from 1 species
CCUUUGACGUUAGCGGCGUACGGGUGAGUAACACGUGGGUAACCUACCUAUAAGACUGGGAUAACUUCGGGAAACCGGAGCUAAUACCGGAUAAUAUUUCGAACCGUAUGGUUCGAUAGUGAAAGAUGGUUUUGCUAUCACUUAUAGAUGGACCCGCGCCGUAUUAGCUAGUUGGUAAGGUAACGGCUUACCAAGGCGACGAUACGUAGCCGACCUGAGAGGGUGAUCGGCCACACUGGAACUGAGACACGGUCCAGACUCCUACGGGAGGCAGCAGCG